CUCGGGCCCGGGUAGCGUCGCCGAGGCUCUUCUCUGGACUAGGCUUCGCAGCGUGGGCCCCGAGGCACCGCGGUUCUCGCCGCCGCCGCCGCCAUGAUCUCCCUCACGGAUACCCAGAAAAUUGGCAUGGGCUUAACAGGAUUUGGAGUGUUUUUCCUGUUCUUUGGAAUGAUUCUCUUUUUUGACAAAGCACUGCUGGCGAUUGGAAAUGUUCUGUUUGUGGCUGGUUUGGCUUUUGUAAUUGGUCUAGAAAGAACAUUCAGAUUCUUCUUCCAGAAGCACAAAGUGAAAGCCACUGGAUUUUUCCUGGGUGGUGUGUUCGUGGUCCUUAUUGGUUGGCCUUUGAUAGGCAUGAUCUUCGAAAUUUACGGAUUCUUUCUCUUGUUCAGGUGAGGUCCUUCUUUUCUGUCAUGAGCCAGUGUCUCAGAUAACGUUUGCAGAGACCGGGGUAGGUAGUUG
rnacentral:lncRNA from 1 species